CCAUCAGGUUUCUUAUCGCUGACUUCUUUCAUGAAAUGUGUUGUUUUGCUGCAGCAGUACAGUGCGAGACAGAACAUUAUUAUGCUACAAAAUAUUUAAGUGGGUCGAAAGCCAAAUAAUGAGAUAGUGUUCAUAGCUUCAAGACUGUUGUAAUAUCAGAUGCACUUUGACCUUCAAGGUUUCCCGUUCUGGCCUGAACUGGACAGUCCUUGGGAUAGAGGCAGCAUGGUGGCUCCUUCGCUCUCGGACUCGCCUCUUGUGGUCCCGGUCCUUCGAUACCUGGUGUUAUU